AACAUGGCUCAGAACGAAACGCUGGCGGCAGGCCUAACACAUGCAAGUCGAACGCCCCGCAAGGGGAGUGGCAGACGGGUGAGUAACACGUGGGAACGUGCCCUUCGGUUCGGGAUAACUCAGGGAAAACUUGGGCUAAUACCGGAUACGUGCGAGAGCAGAAAAGAUUUAUCGCCGAAGGAUCGGGCCCGCGUCCCGGAUUUAGCCUAGUUUGGGUGAAGGGUAAAUGGGCUCACCAAAGGGCGGACGAAUCGGGUAAGGCUGGGUUCUGAAGAGGGAAUGAAUCAAGCCCAACAACUGGGGAACUGAAGAACAACGGGGCCCCAAGAACUUCUCUAACGGGGAAGGGCAAGCAAGUGGGGGGAAAUAUUUGGGAACAAAUGGGGCGGCAAUAGGCCCUUGAAUCCCAAGCCCAAUGGCCGGCGGUGGAUUUGAUUGAAGGGCCCCUAGGGGGUUUGUAAACUCCCUUCGCCCAGAACGGAUUAUUGAACGGCUUAACCCUUGAUUUGUAGCUCCCCCCGGCCCUAUUUCC
rnacentral:rRNA from 1 species